rnacentral:rRNA from 1 species
UACGGAGGGGGCAAGCGUUAUUCGGAAUUAUUGGGCGUAAAGGGCGCGUAGGCGGCUAGAUGUGUCAAAGGUGAAAUCCCUCGGCUCAACUGAGGAACUGCCUUUGAAACUGUCUGGCUUGAGGCCGGGAGAGGGUAGCGGAAUUCCAGGUGUAGCGGUGAAAUGCGUAGAUAUCUGGAGGAACACCGGUGGCGAAGGCGGCAUCCUGGACCAAUAUUGACGCUGAGGAGCGAAAGCCAGGGGAGCAAACGGG